rnacentral:rRNA from 2 species
ACUUAAAUUGAAGAGUUUGAUCAUGGCUCAGAUUGAACGCUGGCGGCAGGCCUAACACAUGCAAGUCGAGCGGUAGCACAGAGAGCUUGCUCUCGGGUGACGAGCGGCGGACGGGUGAGUAAUGUCUGGGAAACUGCCUGAUGGAGGGGGAUAACUACUGGAAACGGUAGCUAAUACCGCAUAACGUCGCAAGACCAAAGUGGGGGACCUUCGGGCCUCAUGCCAUCAGAUGUGCCCAGAUGGGAUUAGCUAGUAGGUGGGGUA